AGCAGCCGCGGUAAUUCCAGCUCCAAUAGCGUAUAUUAAAGUUGUUGCAGUUAAAAAGCUCGUAGUUGAAUUUCGGGAUCAAUAUUUCGGUCAUGCCGUUGGUAUGCACUGUUAUCAUUGAUUUCUCACCUUCUAAAGAACCGUAAUGCCAUUAAUUUGGUGUUACGGGGAAUUAGGACUGUUACCUUGAAAAAAUUAGAGUGUUUAAAGCAGGCUCACGCUUGAAUACAUUAGCAUGGAAUAAUGAAAUAGGACAUCCGAUUCUAUUUUGUUGGUUUCUAGGAUCGAUGUAAUGAUUAAUAGGGAUAGUUGGGGGCAUUAGUAUUCAAUUGUCAGAGGUGAAAUUCUUGGAUUUAUUGAAGACUAACUACUGCGAAAGCAUUUGCCAAGGAUGUUUUCAUUAAUCAAGAACGAAAGUUAGGGGAUCGAAGACGAUCAGAUACCGUCGUAGUCUUAACCAUAAACUAUGCCGACUAGGGAUCGGAUGAUGUUAAUUUUUUAAUGUACUCAUUC
rnacentral:sRNA from 1 species